AAGCAGAGAAUGGAGUUCACUAAGGAACUGGAGUUCGAGAGGAUGAACAUUUUCAUGGAUGCUCAAAUGGAGCUCGAAAAGAAGUCUUUAAAGCGUUUGAAUCCUCUUCUGGUUCAGAUGAAAGCCCUCUGGAUCACUAGCUGAAGACCGGGAGUUUUCUGUCCUAUCAUCCAAAGUCGGUUACAUCAUCAACAGAUUCAGAUUUGAAGCUUUUGUAGAUGAUCAGCAAGGAGUGUAGCUAUUGUUGUAACAUUAUUCAGUGUCAAUGAUCAAGUUCUUCUGCUUCAGAUUCUGUAUUCAUUGAUGUUAUAAACUGUAAUCUAUGUCACCACCUUACCUUCUUAGGCAUCUUAGUGUUCUGUAAGUGAUGAAUAUAUGAUAAGGUUGUGUCUCAAUAAGUAUCAAUGUUGGAUGAACCAGUCUCCUCUUUGAUUGAUGUUCAUGGGACACCCUUGAAUAUGAAAAGGAAUUAAAUUGAUACUUU
rnacentral:misc_RNA from 1 species